UGAAUACGAGACGCUAAGGCGUCGAAGUAGUGUAUGUCAUACUUCCAAGAAAAGCUUGCACUGUCAUAGAUAAAAAACGCCUGUACCAUAACCGACACAGGUGGGUAGGUAGAGUAUACUAAGGGGCGCGAGAUGACUCUCUCUAAGGAACUCGGCAAAAUAACUCCGUAACUUCGGGAGAAGGAGUGCCUUAUUAUUAAGGCUGCAAUAACAAGAUCCAAGCAACUGUUUAUCAAAAACACAGGUCUCCGCUAAGUCGUAAGACGAUGUAUGGGGGCUGACGCCUGCCCAGUGCCAGAAGGUUAAAGAAGUUGGUUAGCAUUUGCGAAGCUGAUAACUGAAGCCCUGGUGAACGGCGGCCGUAACAAUAACGGUCCUAAGGUAGCGAAAUUCCUUGUCGGGUAAGUUCCGACCCGCACGAAAGGCGUAAUGAUUUGGAUACUGUCUCGGAGAGGGGCUCGGUGAAAUAGACUUGUCUGUGAAGAUGCGGACUACCUGCACCAGGACAGAAAGACCCUAUGAAGCUUUACUGUAACUUGAAAUUGAAAUUGGACUUUAUUCGCGCAGCAUAGGUGGGAGGCGUUGAUUAUAAUCUUGUGGGAUUAUUGGAGCCAUCAGUGAGAUACCACUCUUGUAAUGUUAGAUUUCUAACUUUGAAUCAUUAUCUGGUCAAAGAACAGUUUCAGGCGGGCAGUUUGACUGGGGCGGUCGCCUCCUAAACGGUAACGGAGGCGUACAAAGGUUUCCUCUGAACGGUUAGAAAUCGUAUCUAGAGUGUAAAGGCAUAAGGAAGCUUGACUGUGAGACCUACAAGUCGAGCAGGGACGAAAGUCGGUCUUAGUGAUCUGACGGUACUGAGUGGAAAGGCCGUCACUCAACGGAUAAAAGUUACUCUAAGGAUAACAGGCUGAUCUCCCCCAAGAGUUCACAUCGACGGGGAGGUUUGGCACCUCGAUGUCGGCUCAUCGCAUCCUGGGGCGGUAGUACGUCCCAAGGGUUGGGCUGUUCGCCCAUGAAAGCGGUACGCGAGCUGGGUUCAGAACGUCGUGAGACAGUUCGGUCCAUAUCCGGUGUAGGCGUUAGAAUAUUGAGAGGAGCCUUCUUUAGUACGAGAGGACCGAGAAGGACAUACCUCUGGUGUACCAGUUAUCGUGCCAACGGUAAACGCUGGGUAGCUAUGUAUGGAGUGGAUAACCGCUGAAAGCAUCUAAGUGGGAAGCCCACCUCAAGAUAAGUAUUCGC
rnacentral:rRNA from 1 species